CAUCCAUGCUGGCAGGGUUCCUUUCUGUUGAACUUGGCCUGGUUUGCCUCAUCUUGGUUUAUAUGUGGAAAUGAAAGGGGUGUGGCAGCUUCAUCUCCAGAUUCCCCAACUAGAGCCGUUCUGAGCAGGGGAAAAGACUGGACCUUUGUCAUUAUAUAUCUUUGUUUUCUUUUUUCCCUCCUGGAAAGCUUUUAUCCCUGCCUCCAGGGGAAAUCUGUUGCUUAUCUUAAUUUCUCUCUUUCCUAGUGGAAUUUCAGCCCUUGCCCUACAGGUGGAUUGUCACUAUACCUCUCUUCAUUUGCUUUUCCUGCAGUAGUAUGAUCCUUCCCCCAAGGCAGCCUCCUUCUUCCUUUAUAUUCUGGGAGUUUCUCCUCACAGCUCUACCUCUCUACUGAGUCAUUUAUUUCUUAUCAUAGAUGCAAUUUGUUUUGUGUGUGGAUUGAUAUGGAAAGAAUGUUUUUAUUCAAGCUGUAAAUCUACGGGAGAUCAGUGAGACAUAUGAAAGGACAAAAUGAAAUUAUGUGAAGUCCCCGCUAGAGAAACCUUUAUCUGAACUGCUUUUAGCAUGUUUUCUCUGCAGGGACAAAAUCUAAUCAACACCCAUGAGUGCACCCAGUCCUGUGGGUGUAUCUUCUCUGUUCUACUCAGCUUUGACCAGAGUUUUUCAAAACAGUUUUAGCUUCAGUGGUCUUUUGGUGCUGUCAAUUUUUUUCUCUUUCCAGCUCCUGGAAAGCCUAAUAGUGGACACUUUCCCUGAUUCUACUUUAUAAAACAAUGGCUUUACAAGCAGUGGCUACAGCUAACACAAAGACUUUCCUGGAUCAGCAAUAGCUGCCCACAAGUCAAUCUCUCUGUUAAAAUUUGUCCUGCAGACCAGGAAUUGUUAAUAAUGCCCAAAGAGGCUUCUGUCUAAAGGGAGAAUUGCCUCCAUCUGGUUUCUGCAUUUGAAACCCUUGUGUAGAUGGUGAAAUAGUUUUGCAAACAUUGACCUUUUGCUGGGAAUCCCUGGGCAUGGAGAUUGUUGCCUGCCUUCCUUUUGUCUAUUGCUGCAAGUAAUUUCUGCCAUAGACUGUUCUGCCCUGCUUUACAAUACCUACAGUACUAUUUUAAGGUCAUUACUUUAAGGCAGCUAUUAAUGGAAAGGUUUGAUCUUAAAACCAAAAAAAGUUUAUUAGUAGAUAAGAACUUCAUAGGUAUUAUCAACCCCUGCCACUGGUUCAGAUGCUUUGAACAGAUUUUUAGACACUGUUGAUUUGAUGAGAAAUGUGAAACAUGUCAAUACAGGCUUCCUAUUCUUUUCAUUUUAACUUGAUUAAUUUUGAUCUAUUAUAGACCUCCACUUGUAAUCUUUUUCUGAAACUGAGGCUUCUGGUGCCUUUAUAUUGUCAUCAACAGGAGAAGUGAAUUGCUCUAUCCUGUGGUGGGGGAGAUUGAUGACAGAGAUCUCUGAUGUUUCAGAGUAAAGCCUUUGUAAUUAAGAGCCAGUGAGAGGCUUAGCAGAUCCCUGUCCUUGCCCAGUCUCCUCUUUGCUGUCUCGGGGGUUUAGGUAGGUCCUAGAAUUUGUCUGUACCUCAGUUUCCAUUUGGGAAAUGGAAAUGCUGCUCAGCAGACUGACUGUCAGAAAGUGUUAAUGUCCCAGCUUUGGAAGAGAGGUAAGACUUGUGGUGAGGCUGGUAAGCACAGGGAAGACUGGCAGCAAGAUCCUAGAAAGGCAGGGAGGAUCAGAAGCCAGAACUGGUGCUGAAGUGAGGGUGACAGGAAGGAAUUGCCUCCAUCCUGUUCUUAGACCACAGCAGAUGUCACUUCAGUCCUGCUUCACCCACUCAUUAGAGAAAAAGGGACAAAGCCAGGGGGGUCUUCCUCAACUUCCAUGGCUUCCUUUCUGGAGAGAUACUUGACAAACCAUCAAAAGUUAAUGAUCAAAAAGCUUAUCAGGGUAUUUUCAUCUAUAAAUUUAUAAGACAAAAGAGAAAUAAUAAAGCCAUUGGAUAAUUAGUAACUAGCCAGGGCCCGCCCGGUGCCACUGGGCUCAAACUGCCCCAAGACCUGCACGCAGACUCAGGAGGAUGAGAAGGAGACAAGGAUGAGGGGAAGAAAAAGAGUGGGAGGCAGAGAGAGAAUCAGCCAAGGAGACAACAAAAUGGGAGGAAUAGCAGCAGAAACAACAGUGAGAAGGGAAAUAGAUUAAAAGAAUCUGAAAGAUGUAAAGGAAGUAGAGAAAACUUAAAGAUGUGGAAGAGCUGGAAGUGCAGAAGAAAUGAGACAUACUGGGCCAGGAAGAAGACAGAAUUAAUGGGAAUGGUUUCCCACACAGAUCUGGUCUGUGCCCAGAGCACCACCUCCCCUCCCUGCAGGGCGUUACCAAAGCUCCAAUGGAUACUGACGGCUUUGUGUGGCUAAAAACGAGUGAGAAUUCCGAGUCCACGUAAAAACAUUUAUUUGAAGAAAUGUUCAUGUGAGCAUUAAUGUAAAGACAGCUUCAGCUUCUAAAGGUGUUUUUGGGGUCAUAGUCUUAAUAAAGAGUUGUGCUGGUUUUGCACCCAUCACAAGAGUAUUUAAAGAAUGGUGAGCAUUUUGGGCAUUGUACUGUCAGUGUGUUGAUACAAUUUCCAUGCAUUUUAUUUGUUAUUACAGUUUUCCUUUAUUCCCUCCCCUCAGGUAGACAUGACAACAUUAGUGGCUGAUAACAGUAAUUUUCAAUUGUAAUUACAGUAUCCAACCAUAACAUACAGUUUCUGCAUGAUAUGUCCUUAUAAUUCCAGGAUUUUGCAAACAGACACAGCAGAUUGUGGAGCUCUUGCAAUAUGUGACAGAGGAGAUGCUGUCAUUCUGUGUUUCUUCUCUCUGCCUCUCUUUGGCAUGGUGAUCUCUUUUACAUAAACCAAGGUGGAAAAUAUUACCACUGUUCUUAUCAAAAAGAUUGUCCAUAUUCUGUUGGUAUAUAAACCUGAAUGUUUGAGGGGGGAUGGGGAAGUUUAAACAAAGAACAGCAAUAUUUGUCAGUGGAAGCUGUAAAGAAAAGAAAGCAUAGCAACAAGUUAUGUCUAUAUUAUGUGGUUUCAAGGAUUCUUUAUGCACCCAGAAGUCCUGAUGCUGCUGCUGCUGCUUGCCUUGAGGACCUUCAGCUGUAGAAGCUUUUUUUUGAGACCAGUGAACUUUGAAGUCUAUAAAACCAAAAGUGCACAUCUGUUUGUAUGAAAGGACCUCCCUGAAUGCUACAACUGGAUGCCAUGUGGAGAAUGCUUAGCUGAACAAUGAAACAUUUCAAAUGCUGAGGAGGAGGUAAAUAUUCUCUAUCACUUUAUCCUGAAGGAAUUUUCCCUUGGUCUAUUGGAAUUGUCCGUUUUAAACUAUAGGAACCUGGACAAUUAGCAAAAAAACCAAAUGAACUUACUUUCAUCUUUCCAUUCAUUGGAGCCUGCCAGGCUGUGCCAGUGAAUAGCUCAGCCCCACUAAGUAUUUCAGAGCCUCAGUGCAAGAAAACCAGUGAGCUUUUCAGUGUUUCUUAAAUGUUAGAAAUGCCUAGUGGUCAGACUGAAAGGGAUUCCUGUUGUGAAUUAGCCAGCAUCCCUAUUUUAUAGCCUGGCACUAAGGAUUGCAAUGUCAUAUUUCUCAGAUUUUAUUACAAGUGCAGUUUUGAGGUGGUGAGAGAAUAGCAGAGGUCAAGGGUGGAAGCUAGAUUAUAGUUUUAUUGGAGGAAGAGCUCAGUUGCAGAGUGCCAUAAUCAGAAAAUAUUCUCCUGUAGCUGAAUUGUACUCAGGGGUUGUGCCUUGAGGAUGAAUAUUUGAAAUAAGGGGACUUGUGUUUCCUAUAUCCAUUUUUAUCUAUUACCAGUGCUUACUCUAUGUUGAUUUCCUUAAUUGUAACCAUUUCCUAGGCCAUGACUUGAUUCUCAAGUCACUCUGAUUAAUAUGAACUUGGUCAUUGUAACAGGAGAAACUUAAAGUUUGAGGACACCAAGAGAUACCUGCUUGUUUUUCUCAUGUUUGCAGUAUUUGGUUUUGUAUUAACUGUUCCAAAGUAAUCUCUUCUCCCUUGUAUCUAAUAAAGUGAGUGAAUUACUUAACACUGAGAA